rnacentral:lncRNA from 1 species
GCUGAAUCCAGUGGGGCUAUCUCCACUCCAGGCAAAUCCAGCCAGAGACUGAUUCUGAGCAGCAGUUCUGCCCGGCACUGACUCACUGGCCCUGCCAUGCCCACGCCACUGCUCCCGCUGCUGCUUCGAUUGCUGCUGUCCUGCCUGCUGCUGCCUGCUGCCCGCCUGGCCCGCCAAUACCUCCUGCCCCUGCUGCGCCGAUUGGCCCGCCGCCUGGGCUCCCAGGACAUGCGAGAGGCUUUGCUGGGCUGUCUGCUGUUCAUUCUCAGCCAGCGACACUCGCCAGACGCUGGGGAGGCCUCAAGAGUGGACCGCCUGGAGAGGAGGGAGAGGUUAGGCCCCCAAAAGUGAGGCCACAAGUCCUGGCAGCAGCUGUAUCCACAAAAUGCUUUCUUUUGGAGUAGGAUAAUCCUGGCACCAGCACUGACCGAAGCCUGCCCAGUGGACAGAAGAUAUAGUGAGGGUUGUGCAUGAGAGGGAUCUGCCACAGACAUGCCUCUCCACUCCCAACAGAAAUGUCUUUCUGGAAGAAUGCCUUGCAUCUAGCACAAAACUGAUUAUUGCCCCUCUGUCCUCCAGCAGUUCCUCCCAAAGACCACUCCUAAUCACCUCUGGCCUCAGGCGGGAGGGGAACUAACACCCACCCACCCCUGCCCUCCCUGCAAAUGGGAACAUCAAGGUUCCCAGUGCUUAACUGAGGGACAAGUGACAAUUUAGCAGAGAGGCAAGAUUUGAAUCCAGACUGUCUUCCAGACUCAGGACCUACCUUAAAAUAAUAUCUGAGUUGCUUAUGGAGGCAGACCUGCCUGCAAAGCCCAG